GGAAUGUGGCUCAGUGGAAGAGUGCUUGCCUGUCAUGCACAAGGCCCUGGGUUCAAUCCCUAGCACCA
rnacentral:tRNA from 1 species